ensembl:lncRNA
AUGCAUUGACGUCGCUGAGGAGGUACAGCAAGGAGGAAGAAGAGAACUCCUGACCCGUAGUUCCCCUGGCGCCUCCCUCUCUGACGCCUCCCUCUGACGCCUCCCUCUGACGCCUCCCUCUCAGGCGCCUCCCUCUCAGGCGCCUCCCUCUCAGGCGCCUCCCUCUCUGGCGCCUCCCUCUCUGGCGCCUCCCUCUAAGACGCCUCCCUCUAAGACGCCUCCCUCUAAGACGCCUCCCUCUCUGGCGCCUCCCUCUCUGAGACCUCUUCCUUCAGCCUGGAACAGAUAUAUUCACACUGAUACUAACCACAACAGCACCAUCAACCCAGAGUGCCAAGCAGAAUACACUACAACACACUAAAACUACAUGUUACUGACCAGCAUCACUACCCAGCAUCAGGAUACUGUCCACAGCAGCAUCACUACCCAGCAUCAGGAUACUGUCCACAGCAGCAUCACUACAGCAGCAUCACGAUACUGACCACAGCAGCAUCACUACCACAGCAUCACUACCACAGCAUCAGGAUACUGUCUACAGCAGCAUCACUACCACAGCAUCAGGAUACUGUCCAUAGCAGCAUCACUACCACAGCAUCACUACCACAGCAUCAGGAUACUGUCCAUAGCAGCAUCACUACCACAGCAUCAGGAUACUGUCCAUAGCAGCAUCACUACCCAGCAUCAGGAUACUGUGAUUCUACUAAUCGAUCUGGUCUGACUGCUGUUCUGGAACUUUCUGUUCUCUCUUUGUUCCUGUUUUCCUUUUGUUUGUUUAGUUCGGGGUUUUUUGUCUUUCAAACUGUUGUAUAUUGUUUCUGUGAAAAUGAUGUAUUUAUUUUAUAGGAGUUGUAAAUGUGACUUGUACAGUUUUGCUAAAUGAUGAGUUGUGAGACUGAUGCCAUUUCCUACGUUGAGACAGUUACUGUGAGAGGAGACUUCAGCUGUCGCCGCCGAGAACUCUGGGAGUCGCUGCUGAAUUCGUCCUCAUGCCAUAUCUUUUAAAUAAUGACCUGCCAAACUAUUCUAUUGUAUAAAAACCGUGUAAAGUUGUAUUAUGUAAAAGACUAAAUGAAUACUACACUUCAGCAUUUUAUUGAGAAUUAUUCACUGUAAAAUGGAGAGACAUUUACACACAAAAAAAAUAAUUUAUUCAAAUUUUUUUGAAGUUUAAAUAGAAAACAAUUGUGAAAAUGUUACUGUGUAAAUAUAUACAUAUAUACAUUCACUGAUGUAUUUUUUAAAAACAUGGCUUUGCUUCAAUUUGUAAUUUUAAAAGUGCAAGUGUUAUAUGCUUUGUACAUUAAAGUUCAAAAGGGUUUUACAUUUUCCAUUAAAAUGGAUUCAUCAAAGUAUUGUCUGUGUUGUGUCUUAAUGCAGCUAUUCCCAAACUGUCAAAUAAAAAUGUGAUUCACAUUUAAAAACAGUCGAUUUACAGUUGAAGUCGGAAGUUUACGUACACCUUAACCAAAUACAUUUAAACUCAGUUUUUCACAAUUCCUGACAUUUAAUCCUAGUAAAAAUUCCCUGUUUUAGGUCAGUUAGGAUUACCACUUUAUUUUAAGAAUGUGAAAUGUCAGAAUAAUAGUAGAGAGAAUGAUUUAUUUCAGCUUUU